rnacentral:rRNA from 1 species
CGGACGGGUGAGUAACGCGUGAAUUACAUGCCCUGCAGGGGGGGAUAGCCCAGGGAAACUUGGAUUAAUACCCCAUGGUCCCAGCACUUUUUAAAGGUUCCGAAGUCCGGCAGGACGGCGGAGUUUUCAAAAAGUGCUGGGUAAAGGUGGCCUUAUGAAAGUAAGGCUGUCGCUGCAGGAUUGGUUCGCGCCCUAUCAGCUUGUUGGUGAGGUAACGGCUCACCAAGGCUACGACGGGUACCUGGUCUGAGAGGACGAUCAGGCACACUGGAACUGAGACACGGUCCAGACACCUACGGGUGGCAGCAGUCGAGAAUAAUUCACAAUGGGGGCAACCCUGAUGGUGCAACGCCGCGUGGAGGAUGAAGGUCUUCGGAUUGUAAACUCCUGUCAUCCGGGAGUAAGACCUGGCGAUGAAUAGUCGACAGGGUUGAUAGUACCGGAAGAGGAAGGGACGGCUAACUUCGUGCCAGCAGCCGCGGUAAUACGAAGGUCCCGAGCGUUGUUCGGAAUCACUGGGCGUAAAGGGAGCGUAGGCGGCGUGGUAAGUCAGAUGUGAAAUCCCGGGGCUCAACCCCGGAACUGCAUCCGAUACUGCCGUGCUAGAGGAUUGGAGAGGUAGCUGGAAUUCACGGUGUAGCAGUGAAAUGCGUAGAUAUCGUGAGGAACACUCGUGGCGAAAGCGAGCUACUGGACAACUCCUGACGCUGAAGCUCGAANGCCAGGGUAGCGAAAGGGAUUAGAUACCCCUGUAGUC